AACGAACGCUGGCGGCAUGCCUAACACAUGCAAGUCGAACGAGACCUUCGGGUCUAGUGGCGCACGGGUGCGUAACGCGUGGGAAUCUGCCCUUGGGUUCGGAAUAACAGUUGGAAACGACUGCUAAUACCGGAUGAUGACGUAAGUCCAAAGAUUUAUCGCCCAAGGAUGAGCCCGCGUAGGAUUAGCUAGUUGGUAAGGUAAAGGCUCACCAGGGCGACGAUCCUUAGCUGGUCUGAGAGGAUGAUCAGCCACACUGGGACUGAGACACGGCCCAGACUCCUACGGGAGGCAGCAGUGGGGAAUAUUGGACAAUGGGCGAAAGCCUGAUCCAGCAAUGCCGCGUGAGUGAUGAAGGCCUUAGGGUUGUAAAGCUCUUUUACCCGGGAUGAUAAUGACAGUACCGGGAGAAUAAGCUCCGGCUAACUCCGUG
rnacentral:rRNA from 1 species